AUUGAACGCUGGCGGCAGGCUUAACACAUGCAAGUCGAGCGGGGUGAUGGUGCUUGCACUAUCACUUAGCGGCGGACGGGUGAGUAAUGCUUAGGAAUCUGCCUAUUAGUGGGGGACAACAUCUCGAAAGGGAUGCUAAUACCGCAUACGUCCUACGGGAGAAAGCAGGGGAUCACUUGUGACCUUGCGCUAAUAGAUGAGCCUAAGUCGGAUUAGCUAGUUGGUGGGGUAAAGGCCUACCAAGGCGACGAUCUGUAGCGGGUCUGAGAGGAUGAUCCGCCACACUGGGACUGAGACACGGCCCAGACUCCUACGGGAGGUAGCAGUGGGGAAUAUUGGACAAUGGGGGGAACCCGGAUCCAGCCAUGCCGCGUGUGUGAAGAAGGCCUUAUGGUUGUAAAGCACUUUAAGCGAGGAGGAGGCUCUUUUGGUUAAUACCCAAGAUGAGUGGACGUUACUCGCAGAAUAAGCACCGGCUAACUCUGUGCCAGCCGCCGCGGUAA
rnacentral:rRNA from 1 species